rnacentral:piRNA from 1 species
UAUUGUUAUUAUUAUCGAAUCUGGGCAUGG